rnacentral:rRNA from 1 species
GACGAACGCUGGCGGCGUGCUUAACACAUGCAAGUCGAACGAAGAGCGAUGGAAGCUUGCUUCUAUCAAUCUUAGUGGCGAACGGGUGAGUAACGCGUAAUCAACCUGCCCUUCAGAGGGGGACAACAGUUGGGAACGACUGCUAAUACCGCAUACGAUCUAACCUCGGCAUCGAGGAAAGAUGAAAGGUGGCCUCUAUGUAUAAGCUAUCACUGAAGGAGGGGAUUGCGUCUGAUUAGCUAGUUGGAGGGGUAACGGCCCACCAAGGCGAUGAUCAGUAGCCGGUCUGAGAGGAUGAACGGCCACAUUGGGACUGAGACACGGCCCAGACUCCUACGGGAGGCAGCAGUGGGGAAUCUUCCGCAAUGGACGAAAGUCUGACGGAGCAACGCCGCGUGAGUGAUGACGGCCUUCGGGUUGUAAAGCUCUGUUAAUCGGGACGAAAGGCCUUCUUGCGAAUAGUGAGAAGGAUUGACGGUACCGGAAUAGAAAGCCACGGCUAACUACGUG